CACUCCUACGGGAGGCAGCAGUGGGGAAUAUUGCACAAUGGGCGCAAGCCUGAUGCAGCCAUGCCGCGUGUAUGAAGUAAGGCCUUCGGGUUGUAAAGUACUUUCAGCAGUGAGGAAGGUGGGUAUGUUAAUAGCAUACUCAUUUGACGUUAGCUGCAGAAGAAGCACCGGCUAACUCCGUGCCAGCAGCCGCGGUAAUACGGAGGGUGCGAGCGUUAAUCGGAAUUACUGGGCGUAAAGCGCAUGCAGGUGGUUUGUUAAGUCAGAUGUGAAAGCCCGGGGCUCAACCUCGGAAUUGCAUUUGAAACUGGCAAACUAGAGUACUGUAGAGGGGGUAGAAUUUCAGGUGUAGCGGUGAAAUGCGUAGAGAUCUGAAGGAAUACCGGUGGCGAAGGCGGCCCCCUGGACAGAUACUGACACUCAGAUGCGAAAGCGUGGGGAGCAAACAGGAUUAGAUACCCUGGUAG
rnacentral:rRNA from 1 species